AACUGUCUGUUAUGGAUGGCACUGCAUUUAUUUCAAUAUUUCUUUGGAAUAAAGAGACUAUACAACUACUUGGUAAAACUGCAAAAGAGUUGAAAGAAGGAUUACUUGAAGAUGAAGAAAGUUCUUAUCCAACAGAACUUGGUGAUUUAAUGGAGAAGAAAUUUAUGUUUAAGAUUUUGAUCAAGGACUCAAACAUUAACAAAAAAGAUAAUGUCUAUAAAGUUGUUAAUUUCACCGAUGAUGAUACUCUUUUAAAGGAAUUUUGUCAUCCUGACCUUCAGGACAAUCUUAAUGUAAGUGUUUAAACACCAACAUAUUUGUUUACAUUAUACAUACAAAUUUUUUAGUAACGUAUAAAUUGUUAAUUAUGUUUAUAAUGUUCAAACAGAAAUCACUUUUUGAAUAUGAGCAAAGCUAUGAUGAAGAUAAACUCUUUGAGGUAUUCUAACUUUAGAUAAGUUACAUCUUCUAUAUUACUAAUCAGAUUGAAAACACUUGAAGUACUUAUAAUCUUUAUGUUAUUUUAAUUUAGACUCCAAUCAAGAGCAGCAUUUCAGAAUGUGGUACAUUAAUUACUGAAGAUGUGAUUGAUUUAACUACAAAGAUAUCUACCAAGAGUAGUAAAACUGCUGCAAGAGUAGCAAAGCUGCUAGAAAAUCUACAAGGCAUGAAAUUAAAGACGAUUUGAAUGUCAAACAACCCAGCAACAAAAUUCGCAAAGUGAUUAAGAAGGAAAAGAACACCUAAAGCUAUCUUCCAAAUUUGAAAAGUUAUUGGAAGAUUAUGUUUUAAUUUAGGUUGUAUUAAGUUUAGUUUAUUAUUUUAAUAUUUAUGUUUUAAUAAGGUAGUUGGAUGAUCUAUGUAGUUUAUUAUAUAAAUUCAAGCUAUUAAGUUCGUCUUCUUUAUUUAUAUCUCUCUCUCUCAAUCUAUAUCUAUCUAUCAUUCUCUCUCUCUCUCACUCUAUAUAUAUAUAUAUGUGUGUUUGUGGGGUUGUUUUUAAUUUAUGUUGUUAAUCCUCUACAUGUUGUCUUAAUGUGUAUUUUAUAUUCUCAGACUUAUAGUUUAACAUUCAUUAGUAACAGAAGGAUCAUUAAAGUUAACUUUACUGCAUACAAAAUCUAAACAACACACUAUUAGCUGAUUUUUACAAAUACGUUAGUGCAAUUUAAGAGACAUACCUUAUUCCCAUAUGUUAAAAAACAUGCAACACUUUGGUGAACAAUAUGGUGGAUCCACAUCAAUUUCUGAGCUGAUAUAUUCAGAAUAGGAAUCAGAUAUUCUAAAGCUCCAAGCAAUUCAUCUUCAUUCUUCCAAUAUAUAGUAGUUCAAAGGUAGUCAUAAUGAACAAUGAUUUAUAAUAAUUCUAUCAAAUUUGUUGAAGGAGUACCUUGCUUUAUAUAACAUGUUGAAUCUUCAUUCAAAAAAUAUAUACAAUGCUACAGCCCCAAAGUUUCACCAAAACAGCAACAGAAAAGAUCCAAAGCUGCACUAAAUUUUCACAAUAAAAAUAUUAAAACAUCAUUUGAAUUAAACCAAAACAGCAGCAUCAGAAUCAUCUCUAAAACAACGUUAGAAUUGCACCCAAAAAACCACCGGAAAAACAUUGGAACUGCACCAAAAAAUGCACGAUAAAAACAACGUCAACAAACCCCAAAAUUGCACCAAAACAUUCGCACCAAAUUCACACUAAACAGCACACUGACAAUUGUAUCAAUGUGCGCAAACUUCGUGAACUAAUUUCAAAAAUAGAUAAAUCAUAUAUAAUAAAUCUUCAAUAACACAUAUGCUAUAAAAAUAGAGUAUUUUACAUAGCAAAAUAUAACAUUCUGUAAAAUAUUAUCUUAAAUAUAUUUUUGCCUUGAUUAUAUUAUUUAGAGGGAGGGUCAAGAACUUAAAAGGAAGCAAACUACAAUUAUCAAACAUGUUCACAUAGUUAUAAUAAGUUUUGUCUCAAGUGUUGGUGUCAGUAACUUAUUUCAUAUAUAAUUAUCAGAUAAACUAACUCAUCAAAUACUCAAACAUGUUCAUAGACAUUCCUAUCAAAUCCUCUGCAUGAUCUUUAUAUAUUUUAUGCAAUAUCUACUGCAUUUGGUGCACUUUUUAUAACACGUCAUGCAAUAGAUGUUACUUAACAGUAACUCAUAUAUACAAUUAUAAGAAGGAACCUAGCAUUAUAUAGAUGAAAAUUCCAAAGCACAAAUAAAUUGUAAUGAGGAAUUUGAUCCAAAGCAAUGACAAAUAUUGCUCUCAUAUCCUCUGUGUAUAUUUUGUUACCCUUCAUCUGAUCAAUGUAUAUUUUGUUACCCUUCACAUAAUGCCUAUAGUUUGGGACAGCUCCUUAAAAACAAAUGCAUAUUCAGAUCUAACAUAAAUAAAAGCAAUGUCAAAGAAAUUAUUGAUUCACAUAUUUUUUUCUAGGAUCACAUAUGUUACAACAGUCAACUACUUCUAUCUCUUAUGAAUGAUAUGGUAAAUACAUAUCAAAAACAUUGAGGGAGAGAGAGAUUAAACAAAUAUAUUAAUCUUCUUAGUAAUUGUUACAAGUGAAGAAUAUAUUUUCCCAAGUUCUUAUAAAGUUAAACCUGUUAAAAAGUUUCAGCAUAACUAUAAAUCGAUUUAUUUCUCUUUGAGGUCCUUAAUCUAUUCAAAAUCACAAACAAUAAAAAAACAGUUAUAAUUUUAAACUGCUAUACUCCGAAAUAUUUACUGUCUAAUAACUCACAAUAUUAGAAUGAUAAUAUAAUUAAUAUUUUUUUAAAUUAACAGUUAUUUAACUAAAUGCACUAAUCUGGAUUUUAAAAUAACUGCUAUUUGGUCAACUGCAUUUAUCAUGGUAAUUCACCAUAAUAUUAGAUUUCAAGUUCAAUAACUCAUAACAAAGUCAUGACAGAUCAGAAGAAAUUAGCAAGAAAACAAAGAUUUAGCUUACGACAGAAUUAAAAACGUGGAAAAUACUCAUCAGAUGUCAAUAAUUUGAUCUCCUCUAUUUUUAUUGCUCAAUAUAGUACAUGUCUUCUACUAUACAACAGUGAAAUAUAUUACACUACCUAUAUAUUCUUCAUUUUUAAAACUUUUAUCUUCUUCAAAUUUCAUAAAACUUAUUUCAUCUAUUAAAUACCUUUUUGUGCAUUUUAUCUAAAAUUUCUUCUUUUUAAUUUGUUUAAUUAACUUUAUUUUAUUAUAUUUUUGGUAGAUUUGCAAAGCACUUCAUCUACAGCUUUUCCUGUGUCAAAGGGGAAAGAAAUUUUAGUGGAUGAACAUAUUUAUUCGUAUCCCAUCAGUAUGCCACAAAGUUUUUCUAGAGGUUUGUAUUACAGGAAAAAUAUAUUAUUUCAUGAAUUUAUACAUAUUAAAUAUUACUAUUCUUAUACAUAAAACAAGAUAAUGUCAAAUUUUUAUUGUUAAUUUGCAAAUUAGUUCAUCUACAUUCAAGAAAGUCUAAGGGUAAGUAUAUAUUUAUGGAUUAUAAUGUAUACUCACCUAUGUUAACAACGGAAAAUGGCAUUUUUCAAAGGUAUAUCACUAAAAGAACAUAACAAUAUUCAAUAAGCAUCUGCAAUAUAUUCAAAUUCUAUAUUAUUUGUAACAGAUAACAGAAUAUCAAAUCAUCUAACUCAUGAUGAAAAUGAAGAUGUAGAUAUGUUGACAGCAGAUGAGUUUGGUAGUAGAAAACUAUACAAUGAAGGUAAUUUUUAUAUAUUACUAUCCCUAACCUUUGCUUUGUUUAAACAAAUUACUUUGUUUCUAACGUAUUAUUUUUUUUUAAAAAUAAAAUUAUUAGACUAUUGGGAUAUAGGAGAUCCAAUUUAUGAAUGUCAAUAUUGCGGCACUUACUUUUGGUAUGCGGAAAGAAUUGAUAAGAAGUGUAAAAAAAAAGACAUGUUUUCACUUUGUGUUGUGGUCAUGAAAAGCUUCCCAAUCCUAAGGAUCCUCCUACUAUGUUGAAGGAAUUAUUAUUUGGAUCAGGUAAAUUAAUUUAUUUAAUACAAAUAUAAAUACACGUCAAUAAUUUUGUUUAUCAACUUUACAUUUCUAUAAUUUAUUGUAGGUGAAAAAAGUAACCAUUUCAGAGAGAAUAUCCGAACUUAUAAUUCCAUGUUUUCUUUUACAUCAAUGGGAGGAAAAAUUGAUGCAUCUGUCAAUCAAACAAAAGGGCCAAGAACUUUCAGAUUAUCUGGACAGAAUUAUCAUAAAAUUGGAAGCUUAUUGCCUAAUGAGGGAUCUACUCCAAAAUUUUGCACAAUUAUAUAUUUAUGAUACAGAAAAUGAGGUAACAAAUAGAAUGAAUGUUAUCAGGUGUGUACUUAUUUUAUUUAUGCUUUAUGUAAGAUUAAUUAUAACUGUAGUAAUUAAACACUAUUAUCAACAUAUUACUAUUCACUUUGUAGUAGCGGUGAAAGCAACAAUCAAAUCCAUGCUCAAAUUGUCACCGAACUGAAGGAAAUGCUUGAUAAACAUAAUGUUCUUGCAAAGAGUUUUCGUAUGGUUAGAGAUAGAUUUCAAGCUGAACAAAGUACAAAUGUUAAACUAAGACUUAUCGGAAGAAGAGGAUCAGAUGGAAGAGGAUAUAACUUGCCAUCAGUUUCAGAGGUAGCAGCUUUGGUUGUUGGCGAUUUUGAACCAACAAAUACUGACAGAGAUAUAAUAAUCGAAAGUCAAAAUGGACAACUUCAGAGAAUAAAUGAGCUUAAUGCAGCAUAUUUAGGUUUGCAAUAUCCAUUACUACUACCUUAUGGGGAAGAUGGUUAUAGAGAAGAUAUUCCUUUAAAUAGAAUUGAUGAAUCAAGUAAGGGAAGAAAACGUGUUAGUUCUUGCGAAUAUUUUGCAUAUAAAAUUCAAGAAAGGAAGAAUGAAGUACCUACAAUUGUUUCAGCUAAAAGAUUAUUUCAACAAUUCUUGGUUGAUGGAUAUACAAUGAUUGAAUCUUCUCGCUUAUUGUUUUAUAGACUAAAUCAAAGAAAUUUGAGAACACAUUUAUAUAAAGGAUUACAAGAAGCAGUUUUGCAUGGAGACACAGAACCAUCUUCUCAAGGACAAAGAAUUAUAUUGUCUUCUACUUUCACUGGUGGAACACGUUAAAUGUUGCAAAAUUAUCAAGAUGCAAUGGCAAUAUGUAAAUGGGCUGGAUAUCCUGAUUUAUUCAUUACAUUUACAUGCAAUCCCAAAUGGCCUGAAAUUAAGAGAUUUGUGCAUAGUAGGGGAUUGCAUCCAGAAGAUCGCCCAGACAUUAUAACAAGAGUCUUUAAAAUCAAAUUGGAUCAUUUGAUAAAAGAUUUAAGAGACAAUAAAGUUUUUGGAGAAGUAAAAGCGGGUAUGAACUUUAUUUUGCUUUAUUUUAUUAUAUUACAUUUUCAAGUUAAUAUAAUUUGUUUUAUUUAAAUAAAAUCAUAAAUUACAAAUAAUAUUUUGUUUUCUCUUCAUAUAGUGAUUUACACUAUUGAAUUUCAAAAGCGUGGAUUGCCUCAUGCACAUAUCUUACUUUUUCUCCAUGAUAAAUUUCCAAAUGUUGGAGACAUUGAUGCGAUUAUUUCAGCUGAAUUGCCUGAUAAAUUACUUGAUCCGGAUUAUUAUGUGGUUGUUACAAACUUCAUGAUGCAUGGGCCAUGUGGUUCAAUAAGGAAAUCAUCCCCUUGCAUGCAAAAAGGCAAAUGUACAAAGCACUUUCCAAAAAGAUUUUUACCAUCUACCUCACUUGAUGAAGAAGGAUAUCCUUUAUAUCGAAGAAGAGAUGAUGGUAGAUCUACACAGAGAUCAGGUAUUGAUUUAGAUAAUCGAUAUGUUGUACCACAUAAUAAUUUUUUGCUAAUGAAAUAUGGGGCACAUAUUAAUGUUGAAUGGUGCAAUCAAUCAAGAUCGAUUAAAUACUUAUUUAAGUAUGUUAAUAAAGGUCAUGAUCGAGUCACAGUAGCUUUUUGCGAUAGUGUUAAUUCUUCAGAUUCAAAGGUUGUUGAUGAAAUAAAAAUGUAUUGUGAUUGUCGCUAUAUAUCAUCCUGUGAAGCAGCUUGGAGAAUUUUCAAAUUCCCAAUCAACCAUAGAGAACCUUUUGUAGAAAGGUUAUCUUUUCAUCUACCAGACAAUCAAAAUGUCAUAUUUUCAGAUGAUGAUCCAAUUGAUGUUGUUAUCAAUAAACCAACAGUGAAGGAAUCAAUGUUUUUAAGAUGGUUGGAAGCUAAUAAGGAAUUUCCUGAAGCAAGACAUCUAACGUAUGCAGAAUUUCCUUUAAAGUUUGUUUGGAAGCAACAAUCUAAGAGAUGGGAAAAAAGGAAAACUUCAGCAUUUUCUAUUGGAAGAAUUUUCUUUGUUCCACCAGGAUCAGGUGAGCAAUAUUACCUUAGAUUGCUAUUGAAUGUUGUUAAAGGUCCAACUUCUUAUGAGGAAAUCAGAAGAAUAAAUGAUAUUUAUCAUGAGACCUUUAGAGAUGCAUGUUAUGCUCUAGGAUUAUUAGAUGAUGACAAAGAAUAUGUUGAUGCUAUAGUAGAAGCAAGUCAAUGGGGAAUGCCAUCAUAUCUACGACAAUUAUUUGCUAUGCUACUUAUAUCUAAUUCAAUGUCACGUCCGGAGAUAGUGUGGCAAUCAACUUGGCACUUACUAUCAGAAGAUAUCGUUUUUGAAGAAAGAAGAAUAUUAGAUAACCCAGGUAUUUAAUAAUGUUUACACUUGACACUAAUCAUAUAUAAUCUUUUUUUUUUCUUUUUCUUAUUAUUUAUUAUUAUUUUACUUUUAAAAUUUUUUAAUAAUUAGUAAAUUAGAAUUAGAUUAUUUUAUUAAAUUAGUAUAUGUUUAUAUGUUUUUUCAGAAGUUUAUCUAUCUGAAGCAGAUUUGAAGAAUCGUUGCUUGCAAAAGAUUGAAACCUUUUUAAAAGGUUGUGGAAGGAGUUUUCAAGAUUUUUCAACAAUGCCAUUACCUGUCUAUAAUGAGGAUGAGGUCGAUUAUAGCAACAGAUUAAUUCGAGAUGAAAUGCGUUACAAUAAAGGUGCUUUAACUGAUGAACAUCAAGAAUUGCUACAAAAUUUAACUGAUGAACAUAAAGCAGUUUACAAAAAGAUUAUGUCAGCAGUUAUUACAAAUAGUGGUGGAUUUUUCUUUUUAUACGGCUUUGGAGGUACAGGAAAAACUUUUAUUUGGAGGACAUUAUCAGCAGCUAUACGAUCUAAAGGAGAUAUUGUUUUGACAGUAGCUUCUAGCGGGAUUGCAUCUCUAUUGUUGCCUGGUGGUAGAACAUCACAUUCAAGAUUUGUUAUCCCUUUGAAUAUAAAUGAAGAUUCAACAUGUAAUAUAAAGCAAGGUACUCCUUUAGCAAAUUUGAUAGUCAAGGCAAAGUUGAUUAUUUGGGAUGAGGCUCCUAUGAUGCAUAAAUAUUGUUUUGAAGCUUUGGAUAAAACUUUAAGAGAUAUUAUUAGCUAUAAAGAUGCAUCUAAGGCAGAAUUACCAUUUGGAGGAAAAACAGUUGUUCUUGGAGGUGACUUUAGACAAAUUUUACCCGUUAUUCCAAAAGGUACUAGACAAGAUAUUGUUAAUGCAAUUGUAAAUUCAUCAUAUUUAUGGCCACAAUGUCAACUAUUGACUCUAACAAAGAAUGUGAGGUUACAAAGCAAUGCAAACGAUACACAUUUGGAAGAAUUGAGAGAUUUUUCUAAUUGGAUAUUGAAAGUUGGGGAUGGUAGCAUUGGAAGUUCAAUUGAUGGAAUAGACAAAGUUUUAAUACCUAAUGAUCUUCUAAUAAAUGAGUAUAUUGAUCCUAUAGCAUCUAUUGUUGAAAGUAUUUAUCCAGAUUUCAUCACUAAUUGCAAUGAUCCAGAGUACCUUCAACAAAGAGCCAUUCUUGCUCCAACUCUUGAUAUGGUUGAAUCGAUAAAUCAGUAUAUGAUUACUCUUAAUCAUAAUCCUGAGAAAUCAUAUUUAAGUUCUGAUAAAAUUUGCAGGUCUGAUCAUACUUAUUCAGCUUUGGAACAUGUACAUACCCCUGAAUUUUUGAACAAUAUUAAAUGUUCUGGCGUUCCAAAUCAUUCAAUCACUUUAAAGGUUGGGGUUCCAGUGAUGUUACUAAGAAAUAUCGAUCAGUCAGCGGGAUUAUGUAAUGGAACUAGAUUGAUUGUUACUAAACUUGGAAAUCAAGUAAUUGAAGCAAAGGUUUUAUCUGGACAGAUGGUUGGCCGGAAGGUAUUUAUUCCAAGAAUGACUUUAACACCUUCAGAUUAUAGAAUUCCUUUUAAGUUUCAAAGAAGACAGUUUCCUAUAACUGUAUCAUUUGCUAUGACAAUCAAUAAGAGUCAAGGACAGUCUUUAUCUCAUGUGGGCUUAUUUCUGAAGAAGCCAGUGUUUACGCAUGGACAUUUAUAUGUUGCUCUUUCCAAAGUGACAAAUAGAAAGGGAUUAAAAAUACUUACUUACGAUGAAGAUGGGCAAAUAAGUAAUGAAGCCACAAAUGUAGUAUAUAAAGAAGUACUCCAAGACUUAUUUGACAUACAUUGUAUUUUUUAACUUUUAUAUAUAUACUACAAUUUUUGUUGUGUAUGUUACAAUAACUUUUAUAUUAACUGUUAUAUAUGUUUUAGGUUUCAUUAAUAAUGUAAUUUAACUUAGUAAGUUAACAUUAAGUAGGUACACAUUAAUAAAAAAAGACAAAGAAAGUCCAAAUUACUUUGAAAUAUGCAAUAGUCGAUAUGUACUAACCUUAAUUAGCUAAUUAUAAUCACUGCUAUUUUCCAUCGAUACACUAGCAGAAAAAAAAUCUUCCCAUUAUCAACUUCUCCGCCAUCUACAAUACACUUAUUAAAAAGCAAAUAUGAAAAUAUAUUAGGCAAUUUUUUUCAGUUAGAAUGCAUUAAGACAGAAAUUGUAUUAUGAAACAUUGCUCAAAAUAGUUGUAUAUAUAUAAAUUAUCAUAAACUACACAAAUCUAUAUAUUAAUACUACUAUUAAACAUUAAUAAUAAAUACAACUUCAUAGUUAUCAGAUAGUUUUAAAUACGAGUACAGAUAGAUUAUAAGACUUCACACAUUUACAAUCUUUACUAUUUUUUUAACUUUACUCAUUUAUCUAAAAAGUAAAAGUCACAAGUUCCUAUAUUUUAAGGUCAUUUUAAACAAAUUAUGAUUUGGAAACCAAGAAAAUGAUAACUUUUUCUUAUAAUAUAUAAUAAACUGUGUCUUGAAAAUUCACAUUAAAAAUUUUCAAGUACAAUUUACUCCGGCUUGCUUGGAAAACUGUAACUCAGAUUAUAUAUACAAAAUCUCUGAAUCACCAAACAAGAUACCAAAAUCUUUAUCAACAUAAGCUUAUUAUAGCUUUGCAAUAACAUGCAUUUACUACUUUAUAAUUUAAAUUAAAGUUAAACUAUUAGCCGUAUCUGACCAUCCCAAAUAGAUAUGAAGGAGACAUAACCUGAUAAAUCUCAUUAAAAUUAAUCCAAAACAAGAACUACUUCAUGCUAAUAUAUUCUUCAAUUGAAGUUUUCAUUAUGAAGGAUCAAUAUAAAAAAAUGUCAAAAAUUUAACUCACCAUUUCACAGUACAUUGAAUUUUUGUCGGAACGAUACUAGAUCUGAAAACAACUCCUAUCAAAUGUUUUAUGCAAUAUAUAUUAAUCUUAACCUGCUUGAAGAAAGUCAUUUUUAUGCUAUGUUAUCAUUUGCAUGUUCAAAUGUUGAAAUUCUAAAAUUAACUUUACCAUAUAUUUGCAGAAGACAUUCAUAGUAGAAAAGACAAUAGAAGAUUUACUAAAGAGAUGAAAGAAAUAGCACUCACAACAUUGACAAAUCACUCAGAAACUUAGCGAAGAUCCACACUCGGAAGAGGUACCUCACCUUUCAAAUCUGGAAAAUUUUGUUCAUAUUUUGGUCUCUUUCCAGAGAGAUCCAUUUUGUUUGUUUUUUACGUUUUUCCCUUUUUACUUUCCAAUUACUUUUGGAUUUUGGUGGGUUGUCCAAAAGUCUAUUUGAUUUUACUUUUUUCCAAUUCACUUAGAUUGACCAUAUUUUAAUAAAACUAAUAAAUACAUAUACA
rnacentral:lncRNA from 1 species